rnacentral:rRNA from 1 species
AUUGAACGCUGGCGGCAGGCCUAACACAUGCAAGUCGAGCGGAUGAAGGGAGCUUGCUCCUGGAUUCAGCGGCGGACGGGUGAGUAAUGCCUAGGAAUCUGCCUGGUAGUGGGGGAUAACGUCCGGAAACGGGCGCUAAUACCGCAUACGUCCUGAGGGAGAAGGGGGGGGAUCUUCGGACCUCCCGCUUUCAGAUGAGCCUAGGUCGGAUUAGCUAGUUGGUGGGGUAAAGGCCUACCAAGGCGACGAUCCGUAACUGGUCUGAGAGGAUGAUCAGUCACACUGGAACUGAGACACGGUCCAGACUCCUACGGGAGGCAGCAGUGGGGAAUAUUGGACAAUGGGCGAAAGCCUGAUCCAGCCAUGCCGCGUGUGUGAAGAAGGUCUUCGGAUUGUAAAGCACUUUAAGUUGGGAGGAAGGGCAGUAAGUUAAUACCUUGCUGUUUUGACGUUACCAACAGAAUAAGCACCGGCUAACUUCGUG